UACGGAGGGUGCGAGCGUUGUCCGGAAUCAUUGGGCGUAAAGGGCGCGUAGGUGGCCCGGUCAGUCUUUGGUGAAAGCGCGGGGCUCAACCCUGCGUCGGCCAGGGAUACUGCCGCGGCUCGAGCACUGUAGAGGCAGGCGGAAUCCGGGUGGUAGCGGUGGAAUGCGUAGAGAGUCCGGAAGAACACCGGUGGCGAAGGCGGCCUGCUGGGCAGUAGCUGACACUGAGGCGCGACAGCGUGGGGAGCAAACAGG
rnacentral:rRNA from 1 species